AUUGAACGCUGGCGGAAUGCUUUACACAUGCAAGUCGAACGGCAGCACGGGAGCUUGCUCCUGGUGGCGAGUGGCGAACGGGUGAGUAAUGCGUCGGAACGUACCGAGUAAUGGGGGAUAACGCAGCGAAAGCUGUGCUAAUACCGCAUACGCCCUGAGGGGGAAAGUGGGGGAUCGCAAGACCUCACGUUAUUCGAGCGGCCGACGUCUGAUUAGCUAGUUGGUGGGGUAAAGGCCUACCAAGGCGACGAUCAGUAGCGGGUCUGAGAGGAUGAUCCGCCACACUGGAACUGAGACACGGUCCAGACUCCUACGGGAGGCAGCAGUGGGGAAUUUUGGACUAAUGGGGGGGUCGAACCCCUGAUCCAGCCAUUCCGCGUGAGUGAAGAAGGCCU
rnacentral:rRNA from 1 species